CCGUCCUCUAUUUUUCUUUAAUAUUUUUUUGUAUUUCACUGCACGAAUGUUGAACUUCAACUGCUAUUAAGCAGUUGAAGUUUAUUUUUAUACUAGUCAACCCCACUUGUACAGAGUUGAAAACCGCAAUACCAAAAAAAAGUUGAAGUUCCAUCAUACUUCAACUGCAAUUUUUUUUGACAGAUUGAGUUGAUGUCGGCAAUACCGAAUUUUUAUACUUCGACCAAAAUGCAGUUGAGUUGAAAACCGCAAUAUGGGCAUAAGUUUUAAUUUGAUUGAUAUGGUAAACAGUGUUGAAGUAAUAUUAAAAAUGUCAUGAGGUAUGUCUUUUAACUAGUAUACUAACUCCUUGUUUGUUGGUUCGUAUGUUGUAUAAAUUAAAAAUGUAGCCAGUGUAUUGUUUGGGAAAAUGUGUUUUUGGAUAUUGGUUAUUGGAAUGUGAGUUUCCUGAAUACAUAACACAUCUGGGUUCUUUUUUUUGAUAAGUAAUUGCAGCUCAUGGUAAUUGUUCCAAUAUCCAUUCAUGUUCCACUGUAUGAUUUUUAAUACCAUUGAUGUAAAUGAGAGGAAAGCAGAACGUGAGAAUAUGUAUUCAUGUGAAAACCAAUUAAGAUUCCACUGCAGAAACUUAAGCACCAUAAAGAAUCAAUGAGUGUUAGGUGAGAAAAAACUUCACUAUUAAAGAAGUAUUUAAUAGUAAGAGUUUUUUAUAAUUCUAUUUCGUCAACGGUUUCUGAGCUAAGAGAAUCUUUUGGGAAAAGUAGAAGAGUAUUUUGGAUAUAAGUUCUGUCUUCGGUGUUUUGAAGUACAGUAUUAUUGUUUAAGAGUUGUGUGAGAAGAGUGCGUUCGUUUAAAAGGGAGAUUGGGUUAUUGUUGUUGUUUGAUAAAGAAGGAUUGGAAAAGGAUAUGUUUUGUGAGUGUUUACUUGAAUCAGUUGUAUAGUUGGAUUGUUGUGUGCAUUGUUGGUAAGGAGUACCGUCACCGAAAUAAGUAUAGUGUACAAACUAAAAAAUGGAAUUAUGGGAAGUAUACAAGCGUUUUUUUAAACGAUUGCAUGUAAGCAAUUGCGACCUAUUUGUUCAUUGUUGAUCAGUACUUGUUUAAUCCAAACAAAUACUCCUCUGCAUUACUCCCACAAAUUACAUAAAGUAAUAUAGGCGUAAUGCAGAGGAUUAUCAACCGCCCCAACUUCACGCAACAGGCGAAGAAGGAAAAACAAAAGGAAAAUAACUUUCCCGCGCCUUUUGCCUUAAUGCAUAUUUUUUCCCGCCAACACACAGCGAAACACAAGCGAACACGAAGUGAGACGUCUCUACACAAGUGAACAAAAAAAGCGAAAGUGCACAAUCCCGCGAUAAAGUGAAACAUUUUGAACACAACUAGUGAGACAAAUUAUAGUGAAUACGGAAAAACGUUUUUAAACAAGGAAUCCACACAACGGCUGACUUCAUAAACGCAGUUUGCAAUGCAACAUUGCAAACAAAUGCGUUUACGUAGCAAAGCAAUACUUCACGGCAACACUGUUUUGUAAAAUAAUGCAAUGACAUUUUAAACGUUUAUGAACGCAAAAUUGGUUCGCCGAACAUCGUUUGUUGUGUUUCAAUAAAUAAUGAAUGUUCAGCAAUCCUGCGCUUUUGUUUUGCAAAGCGCUUUAGAAUUGGCUGAAACAAAAAAUACAAGCAACACCACGUUAAUUAAAAAUAUAUUAAAUAAAAAAAAGCGCCGGGCUAUUAGAUUAUUAAUGAAUCGCGAUUCAAAAAGAAGGAUUCCUAAAACCUCAAAUUUUUGCAAAACCAUUGAAAUGAUGCAAGAUUACGUGUUUUACUCGCACUUUCGUAUGACGAAGACCACAUUUAAGAUAUUACAGAGCAUGAUAAAUCCUUGGUGGCCUCCGCACACAACAGGACGAAUUGGAAUUUCAUUGGAAAAAUCAUUACAAAUAACGAUUUGGAAGCUGGGCAACAAUUGCUCUUUUAGAGACGUCAGCGAUCGUUUUGAUGUAGCAAUUGGCCUAGCAUAUAAAAUUUUUGUUAAAAUAAUAAAAAUGAUCUGCCGCUUAAAGGGAGAUGUUAUAAAAUUUCCAAAAACUGCAGCUGAACAAAAGCAAAUCAGUGAAGAAUUUUCAAUUCUGCGCUUCAAUUCAUUCCCCUUUGUUCUAGGGUGCGUUGUUGGAACACAUGUUCCAAUUUCACAACCAAUCAAAGAUGAAAUCAGUUAUCGUAACCGAAAGGGAACAUACUCAAUCCUCGCUCAAGAAAAUAUUUGAAGUUUUUUACCCUAACUUAUAAUUUUUAAGUUGAAUACUUUUUUGCAAGGCUAUUGUCGACAGUCGCAUGAAAUUCAUAAAUGUAUUUAUUGGUUGCCCUGGUGCAUGCCAUGACGCAUCGGUAUGGCAAAUGAGUUCUAUCAGGAAGGCCAUAAUUAAUAAAGAAAUUAAUAUUUAUUCCAAUUACCAUUUUUUGGGCGAUGGAGGUUAUCCGUUGGAAAAGUUUAUUAUGGUACCUUAUCGUGAUAACGGAUUCUUAACACCAAUGCAAAUAAAGAUAAUGUAAUUCUAAGCUCAACUCAGGUUGUUGUGGAACAGGCAUUUGGCAUUUUAAAAAAGAAAUUUAGAAUACUAAAAUAUAUUGAAGUUCAACGUCCAUAUAUGCCAAAAUUAAUAACAAUGGCGUGUAUGAUAAUUCAUAACAUUAUUAUUGUAAAUGAAGGCAGCAAUACCGAUGAAAUAAUAGAAGAAAAAAACAUCAUCGAAUUUGAAACGCUCGAAGAAACCACUUUAUCAGGACCGAGAGAUGCAAAAGCAAAGAGAGAUGCAUUAGCAACUUUAUUAUCAGCCUAGUACGUACAUAUGUACCUUUAUCAAUUAAAUUAUAAGUUAAGAGCAUUUUGUUUUAACAUGUUUUAUUGAAUUCAAUUAAUAACAAUAAAUUUAUUGCAUUGA